rnacentral:rRNA from 1 species
GNAGCUGGUAUGAAUGAUUGGCGAGAAANUUGCUGUCUCUAAUAAAUUUAUUUUUGAAAUUAACUUUUGAGUAAGAAGGCUCAAAUUUAUUUUAAAGACGAGAAGACCCUAUAGAGUUUUAUACUGUGAAAAAUUUAAAGUUUUUGGUUAUUUAAUUUUUUUGAUUUUUUUUGGUAUUUGGUUGGGGUGACUAAAAGAUUCGAUAAACUCUUUUAAUUAAUAAUCAUUUAUUUGUGAAUUUUAAAUCUAAUUUUUUUCAAUUUAAUACAAAUUACCUUAGGGAUAACAGCGUAAUUUCUUUUUAGAGUUCUUAUUGAAAAAGAAGUUUGCGACCNCNAAUGUUGAUUUAAAUUGCCGCGGUA